rnacentral:rRNA from 1 species
CCCAGACUCCUACGGGAGGCAGCAGUCGGGAAUAUUGCGCAAUGGAGGAAACUCUGACGCAGUGACGCCGCGUAUAGGAAGAAGGUUUUCGGAUUGUAAACUAUUGUCCACAGGGAAGAUAAAAGACUGUACCUGUGAAGAAAGCUCCGGCUAACUACGUGCCAGUAGCCGCGGUAAUACGUAGGGAGCAAGCGUUAUCCGGAAUUAUUGGGUGUAAAGGGUGCGUAGACGGGAUAACAAGUUAGUUGUGAAAUACCUCGGCUCAACUGAGGAACUGCAACUAAAACUAUUAUUCUUGAGUGCAGGAGAGGAAAGUGGAAUUCCUAGUGUAGCGGUGAAAUGCGUAGAUAUUAGGAAGAACACCGGUGGCGAAGGCGGCUUACUGGACUGUAACUGACGUUGAGGCUCGAAAGCGUGGGGAGCAAACAGGAUUAGAUACCCUCGUAC